rnacentral:rRNA from 1 species
AACGAACGCUGGCGGCGUGGAUAAGACAUGCAAGUCGAACGGGACAGGUAGCAAUAUCUGUCUAGUGGCGAACGGGUGCGUAACACGUGGGCAACAUGCCUGGAAGAGCGGGAUAGCCCGGGGAAACUCGGAUUAAUACCGCAUGUGACAACGGGGCGGCUUCGCCCUGUUUUCAAAGGUGGGGACCGCAAGGCCUGCCGCUUCCAGAUUGGCCCGCGUCCUAUCAGCCAGUUGGCGGGGUAACGGCCCACCAAGGCGACGACGGGUAGCUGGUCUGAGAGGACGACCAGCCACACUGGAACUGAGACACGGUCCAGACACCUACGGGUGGCAGCAGUCGAGAAUCUUUCACAAUGGGGGAAACCCUGAUGGAGCGACGCCGCGUGGAGGAUGACGGUCUUCGGAUUGUAAACUCCUGUCAUGAAAGAACAAGCGAUGCGGGUGAACAGCCUGCAAAGUUGAUAGUAUUUCAAGAGGAAGGGACGGCUAACUUCGUGCCAGCCGCCGCGGUAAUAC